rnacentral:rRNA from 1 species
CCGGCAAACGGGUGCGUAACACGUACGCAAUCUACCCACUACAGGGGAAUAGCCCAGGGAAACUUGGAUUAAUACCCCAUAUUAUAUAGAGGUGGCAUCACUUUUAUAUCAAAGCUUCGGCGGUAGUGGAUGAGCGUGCGGUUGAUUAGAUAGUUGGCGGGGUAACGGCCCACCAAGUCUACGAUCAAUAGCUGAUGUGAGAGCAUGAUCAGCCACACGGGCACUGAGACACGGGCCCGACUCCUACGGGAGGCAGCAGUAAGGAAUAUUGGGCAAUGGACGCAAGUCUGACCCAGCCAUGCCGCGUGAAGGAUGAAGGUCCUCUGGAUUGUAAACUUCUUUUAUCUGGGGCGAAAACAACUCUUUCUAGGGUUCUUGACAGUACCAGAGGAAUAAGCACCGGCUGACUCCGUGCCAGCAGCCGCGGUAAUACGGAGGGUGCAAGCGUUAUCCGGAUUCACUGGGUUUAAAGGGUGCGUAGGCGGGUUAGUAAGUCAGUGGUGAAAUCCCCGAGCUUAACUUGGGAACUGCCGUUGAUACUAUUAGUCUUGAAUAUCGUGGAGGUAAGCGGAAUAUGUCAUGUAGCGGUGAAAUGCUUAGAUAUGACAUAGAACACCAAUUGCGAAGGCAGCUUGCUACACGAUUAUUGACGCUGAGGCACGAAAGCGUGGGGAUCAAACAGGAUUAGAUACCCUGGUAGUCCACGCCCUAAACGAUGAUUACUCGACAUCAGCGAUACACUGUUGGUGUCUAAGCUAAAGCAUUAAGUAAUUCACCUGGGAAGUACGAUCGCAAGAUUGAAA